rnacentral:rRNA from 1 species
UACGUAGGGGGCAAGCGUUAUCCGGAAUUACUGGGUGUAAAGGGAGCGUAGGCGGCAUGGUAAGCCAGAUGUGAAAGCCCGAGGCUUAACUUCGAGGAUUGCAUUUGGAACUAUCAAGCUAGAGUACAGGAGAGGAAAGCGGAAUUCCUAGUGUAGCGGUGAAAUGCGUAGAUAUUAGGAAGAACACCAGUGGCGAAGGCGGCUUUCUGGACUGAAACUGACGCUGAGGCUCGAAAGCGUGGGGAGCAAACAGG